rnacentral:rRNA from 1 species
UACGGGGGGGGCAAGCGUUGUUCGGAAUUACUGGGCGUAAAGGGUUUGUAGGUGGCUUGUUAAGUCAGACGUGAAAUCCCUCAGCUUAACUGGGGAACUGCGUCUGAUACUGGCGAGCUUGAGUGCAGGAGAGGAACGCGGAAUUCCAGGUGUAGCAGUGAAAUGCGUAGAGAUGUGGAGGAACACCGAUGGCGAAGGCAGCCCCCUGGGCUGAGAUUGACGCUCAGGCACGAAAGCGUGGGGAGCAAACAGG